AUGCCCUCCAACCUCUGCUGUUCGUGUUUCAUGUCUCACACCUGUUAUCUUUUUAUCUUUCUUCCCUUUUCCUCACUUCUCUCCACCUCUCCUUCAUCACUUCUUCAUUCUCAACAAAGAAAGAAAUGGUGUGAUAUUUCUUCUCCUUCCCAAGCCACCACUAGAAAGCAUGGGCCACUUCAAGGCUCCUACCCAGAGACUCAGGCGUCCGAAGCUCCAGCAGCAGCGCAGAUGGACGGGCCCGAUCUAGCCUUCCCCAUUUCACCCCGGUCUAGCAAGAGUCGCAUGUCUAUGAAGCUGCGGCGAUCCUCUGGCUCAGCAAACAAGACCUGAGAACAGGGCACAAUUCUAAAGCCAGUACGCCCUUGGAAUCAGACUCGCUAUGCUGAAUAUUUGUUCUAUAUUCCUCCAUUCUUAUGUUAAUUUUAGAGAAUGAUAUGGAAAUUUUAUUUCAAACUAAAAAUAUUUUAGCUUUCGUUAGAAUAUUUUUUUAUCAAACUUCCUGCUGCCAUACUUUGCCAGUGCAGGUUCCCUUUUUUGCACUUUUUAAUUUUUUUCUUUGAGAUAUGUUCAGCUGUUAGGUAACCACUCUGUUUUAACCUUUAGGAGUGAUUGCUAGCCACCCUGGAGCUGGAGACUGCAGGCAUGUUCCAGUCUUAUUUAUUGUGCAACCCUUUCAAUAAUAAAAAUGUACCAUUUUUCAAAUGACAAGGCAUUUCUGAAGUCUUCUGCAAGGCUCACUAGAACACUCAGAAUUACGUACAGAGUAUGUGUGUAUGUAUGAAGGAUAAAAAUCCUUUCAAGUAAGCAUCAUCACCUCUGGUAUUGUCAUUCACUGCUGGACAGAGCAGCUGAAGUACUCGUGCUGAAGUGCUUUCUACUCCCUUGCAGUUAUUUGCUUUCCUCUUGGGACUUAUGGCUACAGUCAGCCUUCCUUUUCCAAAAAGUGAAACUGUCCAUUAAUCUAGCUGUAAGAUAAACACACAUACACACUCACACAUAUAUUUUUCAAGCACUUUGCCAUGUCAAUCAUUUGCUCCAAGCUGUGUCGGUUACAGGGAGGAAAGGGAUUAUGCCCUUGUAGCGGCCAACUUAUACGCUAACACAUUCCACUCCAAAUUCCCACUAUCCCCCAAACGUAUUUUCAUACCGAAGAAGAAAUACAGCUGCAUUGUUUGCCAUAUUCUGCUCUAACAAAAUGUAGCAUGGCACUGGUACUAACUGCAUGUGUAAAUAUCUGCCUUCACCCGGGCAACUAUAGAAAUAUAUAUUGAUGUUUUUGUUCACCGUGUAGUAUAUACAGAUUUGUAAUGGUUGAAGAAAAGACAUGCUAUUUAAUAAUACAAUAAAACUAUUCUUACCACUUUCUGUGUGUUCUGUAUUCUACAAGUGCCGAUUUGCACAAACCUCCUUGAUGUAAAGAAAAGCAGAAGACAGCUAUGAAAUAAAUAGCUGAUCAUUUGGUUGUAAGAUUGCAAAGCCCCUGCACUAAUCUUUUUCACUUAAAACAAUUUUGUUCACAGAUGACUUGGUUAGUUCACUUUCUUUAGUACUGUUUAAUAAUUUUGAUUAACCAGCUUGAUAAAGCUGUACAAAGUAAACUAUUUACUUUGUGCUGAAAACAUCUUUUAACAAGCCUUUAAACAAUCUUUUAACAAGCCAAAAAAAUCUGUGAAAAUUGCUUUCUUGUGUGUUUGUAAGACUAAAUUCAGAACAAAUACCUACAUUGUACAGCUUACAGUGCAAAAAAUAACUUCCAGAACAUUAUCUGAAAGAAGUGUUGUUUAAAACAAUUCAGCUGAAAAAUAUUCCUCAGCUUACUGCUUUUAAAUUAUAUGUAGAAGUCGUUUUUCAGGUGGUAUGGUAGUGUCAAAAUAACAUGGAUAAAUUAUAUGCAAUUCAUUGAAAAGCAUUUUAUGUGCAAAAUGAAUAAAAUUUCACCUAAAAUAUUCCUCAUCUUAGUUCUUAUAAAUUAUAUGUAGAAGUCAU
rnacentral:lncRNA from 11 species